rnacentral:rRNA from 1 species
AGAACGAACGCUGGCGGCACGCCUAACACAUGCAAGUCGAGCGAGACCUUUGGGUUUAGCGGCGGACGGGUUAGUAACGCGUGGGAACGUACCCUUUUCUACGGAAUAGCCUCGGGAAACUGGGAGUAAUACCGUAUACGCCCUUUUGGGGAAAGAUUUAUCGGAGAAGGAUCGGCCCGCGUCUGAUUAGAUAGUUGGUGGGGUAAUGGCCUACCAAGUCUGCGAUCAGUAGCUGGUUUGAGAGGAUGAUCAGCAACACUGGGACUGAGACACGGCCCAGACUCCUACGGGAGGCAGCAGUGGGGAAUUGUUCGCAAUGGGCGAAAGCCUGACGACGCAACGCCGCGUGGAGGACGAAGGUCUUCGGAUUGUAAAGCUCUUUUGGCGGGGACGAUAAUGACGGUACCCGCAGAAUAAGCCCCGGCUAACUUCGUGCCAGCAGCCGC